UGGGGAAUUUUGGACAAUGGGCGCAAGCCUGAUCCAGCAAUGCCGCGUGCAGGAAGAAGGCCUUCGGGUUGUAAACUGCUUUUGUCAGGGAAGAAAUCCUCUGGGUUAAUACCUCGGGGGGAUGACGGUACCUGAAGAAUAAGCACCGGCUAACUACGUGCCAGCAGCCGCGGUAAUACGUAGGGUGCGAGCGUUAAUCGGAAUUACUGGGCGUAAAGCGUGCGCAGGCGGCUUUGCAAGACAGAUGUGAAAUCCCCGGGCUCAACCUGGGAACUGCAUUUGUGACUGCAAGGCUAGAGUACGGUAGAGGGGGAUGGAAUUCCGCGUGUAGCAGUGAAAUGCGUAGAUAUGCGGAGGAACACCAAUGGCGAAGGCAAUCCCCUGGACCUGUACUGACGCUGAGGCACGAAAGCAUGGGGANCAAACAGGAUUAGAUACCCGGGUAGUCCCUGAGCGGGCUGGCAAGGCGCAU
rnacentral:rRNA from 1 species